rnacentral:rRNA from 1 species
UACGUAGGUGGCUAGCGUUAUCCGGAUUUACUGGGCGUAAAGGGUGCGUAGGCGGGAGCUUAAGCGCAGGGUUUAAGGCAAUGGCUUAACCACUGUAUGCCUUGUGAACUGAGCUUCUUGAGUGCAGGAGGGGAAGCGGAAUUCCUAGUGUAGCGGUGAAAUGCGUAGAUAUUAGGAGGAACACCAGUGGCGAAGGCGGCUUUCUGGACUGUAACUGACGCUGAGGUACGAAAGUGUGGGGAGCAAACAGGAUUAGAUACCCUGGUAGUCCCU